GCUAUGUUUGGUGGCAUAGUUGGCUGGAGCGUGCAAUAGCAAGUGUGACUAUAAAUCUAUCCAUUGCGGGUUCGAUUCCCGCCAAGAGCA